CAGUAGCCGCGGUAAUACGUAGGUGGCAAGCGUUGUCCGGAAUUAUUGGGCGUAAAGGGCUCGCAGGCGGUUUCUUAAGUCUGAUGUGAAAGCCCCCGGCUCAACCGGGGAGGGUCAUUGGAAACUGGGAAACUUGAGUGCGGAAGAGGAGAGUGGAAUUCCACGUGUAGCGGUGAAAUGCGUAGAGAUGUGGAGGAACACCAGUGGCGAAGGCGACUCUCUGGUCUGUAACUGACGCUGAGGAGCGAAAGCGUGGGGAGCGAACAGGAUUAGAUACCCCGGUAGUCCCUGUCUCUUAUAC
rnacentral:rRNA from 1 species